GUAGUUUCACAGCAGCUGGAGGGCCACAGGAUGAAGACCCAUGCAGUGGCUCUAUCGUUUGCUUUUCAGUUUAUAUUUUUCUUGCCGAAGUAGGCCUUUUUUGGUUUGUGUUUGUGAACAAAGUUUCUAUUUAUUUUCUGAGCAGAUCCUGUCCCUGAAUGCUAAGUUCCCUGGGAACUCCCAUGAUGCCCAUGUCAUUAGACAAUCAGGGAUAUGACAAAGAUUAAGAACGAUGGAAGGCCAAGACUUGUGGCUAUUGGGAGACCGUGGAUAUCCUUGCAUCCCCUGGCUCAUGACUCCUUACAGUAAACCCAGGCCAGGACAACAGUCGGCAUUUAACUACGCGCUUACUGCUACUAGACAGCUGGUGCAGCGCACGAUUGGGGUUCUUAAAGGGCGUUUUCGUGUGUACGAUCUCCGACAUCAUGUAUUCGCCGGAGAUGGUGAGUAAAAUUGUGGUCCUGUUCGCUAUCCUCCAUAACAUCGCUGUAAGGAGUCGCGUAGAGCUUCCCCACACUGAGGAAUUGCCGAAUGAGGAGCCAGGGGUUGGCCGGAUAUUCCGUGUGGGAAGUGUUUACGGCCGGGGUAAUGCUGUAGGGGCUCGAAUUGUGCAUGAUUAUUUCAGGUAUUUAUUUUUGUUUUAUUUUAUUUUGUCUCCCCAAACUGUCUGUAUGUGUUUAUUUUUUUGGACUGAUGGCAUUUAGGUAGCUAGGUAAAAUUCAGAGUGUGUUGCUUUUGUUUUGUGAGUAUUUCAUAUUGUUUCAGUACAAAAUGUAUCUGUAAUGCUCUCCUUAUCAUGUUUGUUGUGUAAGAUUGUUGUAUAGAAUGGUAUUACUGUUUUGUUUUUGUUUUUUGUAGUUUGUAAUGUGGGGUAAUUGUGUAACCAACAAUAACAGAAUUUUUUUUUUGUUUGUAUGUUUGGCUUGUGCAUCUGUUUACCAUAAAAAUGACACAACAUCUGAUCCUAAAAAACAUAAACUUUGUGACUUUGUGUAGCUGAUUGUUCCUGCAAAAUGUGGUGAGUAAACAGAUUUUAACACUUAGUUGUGUUUUUUCUUACCCCCAAAAAUAGGCAAAAUCAAUAUAUGUGUGUGUGUGUGUGUGUGUGUUUGCUCUCUCUCUCUCUCUCUCUCUAUAUAUAUAUAUAUAUAUCUGUAGACUUAUAUGUUUAUGAAUAUCGGCCACGCCGGAGCUGUUGGCGGAGCUGCGCCCACAAAUUUGCAGUCGCUGCAAACGCAGUAAGUUAAACGCAUUACAAUAAACAUGUUUAUUACACUGGGAUUAGCAGAAGAAAAUUUUAAUGUAAAGAAUGCACAUUUUCACUGAGAAGUGCUAGAGUGAGAAAAUUAGCAGACUGUGUAAUUACACUAUUGUAGCACAAACAUGACAAGUUUCCACAUUGUGUGUGGUUAUGGCUUGCAGUACUGACUGUGUAGCAAAGUGCUUGUGAAAAAGUUAAUGUUGUUGUACUGAGUUGCUACACAGGCUGUCGGCUGAACACAAUAACUUGCUCUGUGUAUUUAACAUGGGACAGAACAAUGUAAUUUUUAAAUGCUGAUGGGUUUUUUUUUAGCCACAACCUAAUUAUUACAUAUGUCAUUCUAGGGCAAGCACAACGCCAAGCAGCGGCUGGAAGGCCUCCAAGUUCUAGGCCAGCCCAAUCCCCCUCUCCACCCCCCUCCCCUUCUGUGGCCCAAUCCCCUUCUCUGCCCCACUCCCCUUCUGUGGCCCAAUCCCCCUUUCCGCCGCCCUCCCCCUCUCUUUCCCAAUCCCCUUCUCUGCCCCCCUCCCCUUCUGUGGCCCAAUCCCUUCUCCACCCCCCCCCCUCUCUUUCCCAAACCCCCUCUCUGCGCCCCUCCCCCUCUGUGGCCCAACCCACCACUCUGCCACCCUCCCCCUCUCUUUCCCAAUCCGCCUCUCUGCACCCCUCCCCCUCUGUGGCCCAGCCCACCUCUCCGUCCCCCUCUGUGGCCCAACCCACCUCUUUGCCACCCUCCCCCUCUCAAUCUGACCCACCCUCUGUAACCAGCUCCCCCUUCCAUCCUCUUUCCCCAAUCCAGACUCCUUCCCCAUCCAGCCUCCUUCCCCCAUCCAGCCGCCAUCCCCCAUCCAGCCGCCAUCACCACCUUCUGAAUGGGCAGCAGAGGCCCCGGAGGCACUUCAGGGAGGUGCUCAAGUGGCAGAGGAGAAUGUUGCAGUUGGAGAUCCCACAACUCUUGCGGGCAUUCUGGCCAGCAUGAGAAAUCAUCUUGAAGGCUUGCUGGCUAAUGUAGACCAGCUUCAAAAAUGUGUAUAAAAUAAAAUAAAAUAAAAAUUUGUGUGCAAAAAGUUACAUGAACAAAAAAAAAAAAGUUUGUUAAAAAAUAAAAUACUUUUUUUUCAAGUUAA